CAGUAGCCGCGGUAAUACGGAGGGGGCUAGCGUUGUUCGGAAUUACUGGGCGUAAAGCGCACGUAGGCGGCUAUGUAAGUUAGAGGUGAAAGCCUGGAGCUCAACUCCAGAAUUGCCUUUAAGACUGCAUCGCUUGAAUCCGGGAGAGGUGAGUGGAAUUCCGAGUGUAGAGGUGAAAUUCGUAGAUAUUCGGAAGAACACCAGUGGCGAAGGCGGCUCACUGGCUCAUACUGGACGCUGAGGUGCGAAAGCGUGGGGAGCAAACAGGAUUAGAUACCCCCGUAGUCCCUGUCUCUUAUAC
rnacentral:rRNA from 1 species